UACAGAGGGUGCAAGCGUUAAUCGGAAUUACUGGGCGUAAAGCGUGCGCAGGCGGUUGUGCAAGACAGAUGUGAAAUCCCCGGGCUCAACCUGGGAAUUGCAUUUGUGACUGUACGGCUAGAGUGUGUCAGAGGGGGGUAGAAUUCCACGUGUAGCAGUGAAAUGCGUAGAGAUGUGGAGGAAUACCGAUGGCGAAGGCAGCCCCCUGGGAUAACACUGACGCUCAUGCACGAAAGCGUGGGGAGCAAACAGG
rnacentral:rRNA from 1 species